UAUAAAAGCGUGUUAACUCAAUGGUCAGAGUAUUGUGCUACGAACACAAUAGUUGCAAGUUCGAAUCUUGUACACGUUU
rnacentral:tRNA from 1 species